rnacentral:miRNA from 1 species
UGGAGAUGUUGGCAUUGAAUUGGC